rnacentral:Y_RNA from 1 species
GGCUGGUCUGAAGGUAGUGAGUUAUCUCAUUUGAUUGUUCACAGGCAGUUACAAAUUGAACUCCUUGUUCUAUGACUUUCCCCCGAUCUCACUACUGCACUUGAUGAGUCUUAA